GCCUCUCUCUCUCAUAUCUAGCCUUAAUAAUGCCGUGAUCUUUAAUUUUUUUUUAAUAUACAUAUCUUUGAAUAAUAUUACAUUUAAUUUUCUUGCAAUAAAACUGGCAAUGUAAUAUUGGGUUUAAGUUUGUAAGUUUUCAAUGUCACUAGUAUUAAUUGACCUCUCUCUCAAUCGACCAUUAGCCACCCUCAGUUCUAAAUUUAAAUUACUAAGACUAUAAAUACAUUCAUUAGCAAACAAAUGUUCAUAUGUUGUAUGACAGCCUUCAGUGAAAUCUUCGCAAUAGUUCCCAAGUGAGUUAGUUGAUGUUAAGUUAUUG